rnacentral:rRNA from 1 species
UACGUAGGGGGCAAGCGUUAUCCGGAUUUACUGGGUGUAAAGGGAGCGUAGAUGGCAGCGCAAGUCUGGAGUGAAAUGCCGGGGCUCAACCCCGGAACUGCUUUGGAAACUGUGCAGCUAGAGUGCGGGAGAGGUAAGCGGAAUUCCUAGUGUAGCGGUGAAAUGCGUAGAUAUUAGGAGGAACACCAGUGGCGAAGGCGGCUUACUGGACCGUAACUGACGUUGAGGCUCGAAAGCGUGGGGAGCAAACAGG